GUCGUCAGCUCGUGUCGUGAGAUGUUGGGUUAAGUCCCGCAACGAGCGCAACCCCUAUUGUUAGUUGCCAUCAUUCAGUUGGGCACUCUAGCGAGACUGCCGGUAAUAAACCGGAGGAAGGUGGGGAUGACGUCAAAUCAUCAUGCCCCUUAUGACCUGGGCUACACACGUGCUACAAUGGUUGGUACAACGAGUUGCGAGUCGGUGACGGCGAGCUAAUCUCUUAAAGCCAAUCUCAGUUCGGAUUGUAGGCUGCAACUCGCCUACAUGAAGUCGGAACCGCUAGUAAUCGCGGAUCAGCACGCCGCGGUGAAUACGUUCCCGGGCCUU
rnacentral:rRNA from 1 species